rnacentral:ncRNA from 2 species
GCCUAACACAGCGCCGAUUUGCUUGAUCUGCUUGCGGGCGCCUCAUAAAUCCAGCUAAAGAGGUCCAUAUGGCCGAACU